rnacentral:rRNA from 1 species
CAAUAGCGUAUAUUAAAGCUGUUGCGGUUAAAAAGCUCGUAGUUGGAUUUCUGUCAAGGACAACUGGUCCGCCCUUCGGGUGAGCACAUAGUUUGGUCUUGGCAUCUUGCUGGAAGCUGUUGCUGCACUUGGCUGUGUGGCGCAGCGUCCAGCACUUUCACUUUGAGGAAAUUGGAGUGUUUCAAGCAGGCACAUGCCUUUGGACACAGUAGCAUGGAAUAAUUAGAUUGGGCUUUUGCUCCAAUUUGUCGGUUUCUGGAGCUGAGGUGAGAAUUAAUGGGGAUUGUUGGGGGCAUCCGAAUUUAGCCGUCAGAGGUGAAAUUCUUGGAUCUGCUAAAGACGGACAACUGCGAAAGCGUUUGCCCAGGAUGUUUUCAUUGA